UACUCGAGUGGCGAACGGGUGAGUAACACGUGGGUGAUCUGCCCUGCACUUCGGGAUAAGCCUGGGAAACUGGGUCUAAUACCGGAUAGGAGCCAUUUUUAGUGUGAUGGUUGGAAAGUUUUUUCGGUGUAGGAUGAGCUCGCGGCCUAUCAGCUUGUUGGUGGGGUAAUGGCCUACCAGGCGGCGACGGGUAGCCGGCCUGAGAGGGUGGACGGCCACAUUGGGACUGAGAUACGGCCCAG
rnacentral:rRNA from 1 species